rnacentral:rRNA from 1 species
CGUAGACUCCUACGGGAGGCAGCAGUGGGGAAUAUUGCACAAUGGGGGAAACCCUGAUGCAGCCAUGCCGCGUGUGUGAAGAAGGCCUUCGGGUGUAAAGCACUUUCAGUAGGGAGGAAGGUAGUGUAGUUAACACCUGCACUAUUUGACGUUACCUACAGAAGAAGCACCGGCUAACUCCGUGCCAGCAGCCGCGGUAAUACGGAGGGUGCGAGCGUUAAUCGGAAUUACUGGGCGUAAAGCGCAUGCAGGCGGCCUGUUAAGUCAGAUGUGAAAGCCCCGGGGCUUAACCUCGGAAUUGCAUUUGAAACUGGCAGGCUAGAGUCUUGUAGAGGGGGUAGAAUUUCAGGUGUAGCGGUGAAAUGCGUAGAGAUCUGAAGGAAUACCAGUGGCGAAGGCGGCCCCCUGGACAAAGACUGACGCUCAGAUGCGAAAGCGUGGGGAGCAAACAGGAUUAGAUACCCUGGUAG